CCCUUAGAUGUUCUGGGCCGCACGCGCGCUACACUGACGGAUUCAACGAGCUUACAACCUUGGCCGAAAGGUCUGGGUAAUCUCCAAAAUCCGUCGUGAUGGGGAUAGAUUAUUGCAAUUAUUAAUCUUCAACGAGGAAUGCCUAGUAAGCGCAAGUCAUCAGCUUGCGUUGAUUACGUCCCUGCCCUUUGUACACACCGCCCGUCGCUCCUACCGAUUGAAUGGUCCGGUGAAGCGUUUGGACUAUGGUUUUCUGAUGGUCCGCCGUUGGAUUACCGUGGGAAGUUCGUUAAACCUUAUCAUUUAGAGGAAGGAGGAGUCGUAACA
rnacentral:rRNA from 1 species